ensembl:lncRNA
CUAUUAUUUGCAGUUGAACUGAAUCCUGAUUCAUUACCUCAUAGGGUUGUUAUAAAGAUUAAAUAAAUGAGAGAAUACACAUAGACUACUUAGCCUAAUACUAACUUUUAACACAAGGAAACACUCAAUAAAGAAUGGUUAUUCUCAGGGAAUUAUGCAUCACCAGGAGCCUGUCAAACGGUCAUGCCACAGGAAAGAGGACUCACGCACGAAAGACAGCAGGAGUUAGGACCUCCCAGGCAUCUUUUCCACUUUCCCUGGAAGAUUUGAGCCCAGCUUGUUCUGGUCAGUGGCCUGUUGGAUCUUAAUCAUUAGGGCUCACCUGGCGCUUUGUUAGUUGAGAACAGAAAAACUGGCAUUAGUUCCAGGAGGUGACAGGCACAAGCCACAGAGUCCUGCCUCUGCAACCCAGGCAGGAAGCCUGCCUGAUCACACAUCUCUGGAUGGCCGAGGAGCAUGAGAAUGCGGACACCACGGUAGGACCAUCUUCAAGAACGCCCGUUCUCCACCCUUCACACAAGACACCAGGGAGAAAUCGCAGGCCACAGCCUCUCUCAAGUCUCACCUUUCUAACCAACCCCCACCCCUCCCUUCCACUACUGGUGUCAUUUCAACUCCUGGAACACCAAUCUCUUUCUCAGGGCAGGGCUUUUAUCCGUUCUGUUUCCUUAGCUUGGAAGGUCCUACCCCCAAAGCCUGAACGUUCCUUCCUGGGAGGGGCCGUCUCCGACAACCAGUACCUAACAUCCUCCCUUACUUCACCCGGUUCCUUUCUUUCUGGCAUCUGUCACUACUUGAAAGUAAUGUAUAUGUCAUUUAUACGUUUACACUGCUUGUUAGUCUCCCUUACUAGAGCGGAACCCCUUGAGGGCACGGAUCUUGUCUGGCUUUUGCAUCGCUUAUUCUUCGAUAUUUAGCAAAGGACCUGGAAGGCACGUUUUCAUUUCGUAUUUGAAAAAUGAAGGAGUGAAUGCAGCAAAGCCCGUAUUUAACGUUUCCUCGCCCUUUACCAUCCACCCCUGCGCGCCACUCAUCACCACGUACCCCU